rnacentral:rRNA from 1 species
UGCAAGUCGAGCGAAUGACGAGAAGCUUGCUUCUCUGAUUUAGCGGCGGACGGGUGAGUAACACGUGGGCAACCUGCCCUACAGAUCGGGAUAACUCAGGGAAACCUGGGCUAAUACCGGAUAAUCCUUCGAAUCACAUGUUUUGAAGUUGAAAGGCGCUUCGGCGUCACUGUAGGAUGGGCCCGCGGUGCAUUAGCUAGUUGGUGGGGUAACGGCCUACCAAGGCAACGAUGCAUAGCCGACCUGAGAGGGUGAUCGGCCACAUUGGGACUGAGACACGGCCCAAACUCCUACGGGAGGCAGCAGUAGGGAAUCUUCCACAAUGGACGAAAGUCUGAUGGAGCAACGCCGCGUGAGUGAUGAAGGUUUUCGGAUCGUAAAACUCUGUUGUAAGGGAAGAACAAGUACGUUAGGAAAUGAACGU